rnacentral:rRNA from 1 species
GACGAACGCUGGCGGCGUGCUUAACACAUGCAAGUCGAACGGGGUCCAACCAGUGGCAACACUGGGGAAGAUCUAGUGGCGAACGGGUGAGUAACACGUGAGGAACCUGCCCCGAUCUCUGGGAUAACAGCGGGAAACCGCUGCUAAUACCGGAUGCCCUCCUCUGAUCGCAUGGUCGGAAGAGGAAAGGAUUCUGGAUCGGGAGGGUCUCGCGGCCUAUCAGCUUGUUGGCGGGGUAACGGCCCACCAAGGCUCCGACGGGUAGCUGGUCUGAGAGGACGACCAACCACACUGGGACUGAGACACGGCCCAGACUCCUACGGGAGGCAGCAGUGGGGAAUCUUGCGCAAUGGGCGAAAGCCUGACGCAGCAACGCCGCGUGGGGGAUGAAGGCCCUCGGGUUGUAAACCCCUUUCAGCAGGAACGAAACUGACGGUACCUGCAGAAGAAGGUCCGGCCAACUACGUGCCAGCCGCCGCGGUAAAAC